UUCCCACGGGAGGCAGCAGUCGGGAAUAUUGCACAAUGGAGGAAACUCUGAUGCAGUGACACCGCGUAUAGGAAGAAGGUUUUCGGAUUGUAAACUAUUUUAGACAAGGAAGAAAAAAGACAGUACCUGUAGAAUACGCUCCGGCUAACUACGUGCCAGCGGCCGCGGUAAUACGUAGGGAGCAAGCGUUAUCCGGAAUUAUUGGGUGCAAAGGGUGCGUAGACGGCAGAGAAAGUCUGAAGUGAAAGCCCGCGGCUCAACCGCGGAACUGCUUUGGAAACUUUUCGGCUAGAGUACCGGAGAGG
rnacentral:rRNA from 1 species